CCUACGGGAGGCAGCAGUGGGGAAUAUUGUACAAUGGGGGAAACCCUGAUGCAGCGACGCCGCGUGAGUGAAGAAGUAAUUCGUUAUGUAAAGCUCUAUCAGCAGGGAAGAAAAUGACGGUACCUGAGUAAGAAUCUCCGGCUAACUACGUGCCAGCAGCCGAGGUAAUACGUAGGGGGCAAGCGUUAUCCGGAUUUACUGGGUGUAAAGGGAGCGUAGACGGCAGUGCAAGUCUGGAGUGAAAGGGGGGGGCUCAACCCCCGGACUGCUGUGGAAACUGUACGGCUGGAGUGCAGGAGAGGUAAGUGGAAUUCCUAGUGUAGCGGUGAAAUGCGUAGAUAGUAGGAGGAACACCAGUGGCGAAGGCGGCUUACUGGACUGUAACUGACGUUGAGGCUCGAAAGCGUGGGUAGCAAACAGGAUUAGAUACCCUUGUAGUC
rnacentral:rRNA from 1 species